rnacentral:rRNA from 1 species
GACGAACGCUGGCGGCGUGCUUAACACAUGCAAGUCGAACGAUGAACCGGAGCUUGCUCUGGGGAUUAGCGGCGAACGGGUGAGUAACACGUGGGCAACCUGCCCCAGACACCGGGAUAACCAUUGGAAACGAUGGCUAAUACCGGAUACGACCACUUCGGGCAUCCGAUGGUGGUGGAAAGGAUUCUGGUCUGGGAUGGGCCCGCGGCCUAUCAGCUUGUUGGUGGGGUAAUGGCCUACCAAGGCGACGACGGGUAGCCGGCCUGAGAGGGCGACCGGCCACACUGGGACUGAGACACGGCCCAGACUCCUACGGGAGGCAGCAGUGGGGAAUAUUGCGCAAUGGGCGAAAGCCUGACGCAGCGACGCCGCGUGAGGGACGAAGGUCUUCGGAUUGUAAACCUCUUUCAGCAGGGAUGAAGCGAAAGUGACAGUACCUGCAGAAGAAGCACCGGCUAACUACGUGCCAGCCGCCGCAGUAAUAC